rnacentral:rRNA from 1 species
CCCUUAGAUGUCCUGGGCCGCACGCGCGUUACACUGGUGCAUUCAACGAGCUUAUAACCUUGGCCGAGAGGCCUGGGCAAUCUUGCUAACGUGCAUCGUGAUAGGGAUAGAUUAUUGAAAUUAUUAAUCUUGAACGAGGAAUUCCUAGUAAACGCAGAUCAUCAAUCUGCAUUGAUUACGUCCCUGCCCUUUGUACACACCGCCCGUCGCACCUACCGAUUGGGAAAAUUUUAGAGAGUCCUGGACUGACGAUUGUUCGGCUUCACGGCCUUACUUUCGUCGGGAAAGAAUUCGAUAAUAUUUUUCUAGAGGAAGUAAAAGUCGUAACA